rnacentral:rRNA from 1 species
AACCUACCCAGCAGCGGGGGAUAACACUUGGAAACAGGUGCUAAUACCGCAUAGGACUUUUUUUCGCCUGAAAGGAAGUUAAAAGACGCUUUUUGCGUCACUGCUGGAGGGACCCGCGGUGCAUUAGCCAGUUGGUGAGGUAACGGCUCACCAAAGCAACGAUGCAUAGCCGACCUGAGAGGGUGAUCGGCCACACUGGGACUGAGACACGGCCCAGACUCCUACGGGAGGCAGCAGUAGGGAAUCUUCGGCAAUGGACGCAAGUCUGACCGAGCAACGCCGCGUGAGUGAAGAAGGUUUUCGGAUCGUAAAGCUCUGUUGUCAGCCAAGAACAGGAAAAAGAGGCAAUGCUUUUUCUUUGACGGUAGCUGACCAGAAAGCCACGGCUAACUACGUGCCAGCAGCCGCGGUAAUACGUAGGUGGCAAGCGUUGUCCGGAUUUAUUGGGCGUAAAGGGAGCGCAGGCGGUUCGUUAAGUCUGAUGUGAAAGCCCUCGGCUCAACCGAGGAGGGUCAUUGGAAACUGGCGAACUUGAGUGCAGAAGAGGAGAGUGGAAUUCCAUGUGUAGCGGUGAAAUGCGUAGAUAUAUGGAGGAACACCGGUGGCGAAGGCGACUCUCUGGUCUGUAACUGACGCUGAGGCUCGAAAGCGUGGGUAGCAAACAGGAUUAGAUACCCUGGUAGUCCACGCCGUAAACGAUGAGUGCUAAGUGUUGGAGGGUUUCCGCCCUUCAGUGCUGCAGUUAACGCAUUAAGCACUCCGCCUGGGGAGUACGACCGCAAGGUUGAAACUCAAAGGAAUUGACGGGGGCCCGCACAAGCGGUGGAGCAUGUGGUUUAAUUCGAAGCAACGCGAAGAACCUUACCAGGUCUUGACAUCCUUUGUCCGCCCUAGAGAUAGGGCUUCCCCUUCGGGGGCAAAGUGACAGGUGGUGCAUGGUUGUCGUCAGCUCGUGUCGUGAGAUGUUGGGUUAAGUCCCGUAACGAGCGCAACCCUUAUGGCUAGUUGCCAGCAUUUAGUUGGGCACUCUAGUCAGACUGCCGGUGACAAACCGGAGGAAGGUGGGGAUGACGUCAAAUCAUCAUGCCCCUUAUGACCUGGGCUACACACGUGCUACAAUGGGAAGUACAACGAGCGCGCCAAGCCGCAAGGCCGAGCGAAUCUCUGAAAGCUUCUCUCAGUUCGGAUUGCAGGCUGCAACUCGCCUGCAUGAAGC